GCGCCAAUAGCUCAAUUGGUAGAGCAGCUGACUCUUAAUCAGCGGGUUCGGGGUUCGAGUCCCUGUUGGCGCA
rnacentral:tRNA from 2 species